rnacentral:lncRNA from 1 species
UUUCAAAAGAAAAGAUUGGAAAUGCUUCUUAUUUUCUCUUUUGUAUUAGAUUGCCGACACAUAAUCUCUCCUCUUAAGAUUCAAACGUAAUUUAGAAAAUUUGACUGAUUUACCUUCCGUUGAAUCUACCCAAGCAGAGCAGUAGGUCAUCCUAGACUUGAACACGAGAAAUCACUCGUGAAGUAAAUCAUUGCACCGGUCGUCCAACUAUUGGAAGAGAAUCAAUAGAUUUCUUUUUUUUAGAGUAAUUCAUCCUUCCAAAAUACAGCAUACAACUCUCUGUUGUACCAUGUUCUCCAAGGGUGCUUGUUCCUCCUCUCUGCCGAGUCUGUAUGAAAUAAUUCCAAUAAGAAGAAAAAUUGAAGGCCUUAAUAGACCCUCGUAUCCCAACCCAAGAAACUCUAAAGAUCCUUUUUUCAAACCUACUCCCAUUCUAGUCAAGAGAUACAAGCAGACACAUGAAAUUGCAGUGAUCGGGUGCGUUAAUAGUGAUUGAGGGGUAUUGAAGACCAAGAAGUGAGUUAUUUAUACUGAGCAUUCUUCUUACGAUUAGAUCUAAUCUCCAGGUCCUGGUGAAAAGAAAAAGGUAUUUCAAUCUUCCUCUCAAGAAGAGGGAGGAUUAGGUAAAUCCUAUUGAUUGCAAAUUUCUUUAUGCUUCCGUAAGUUACUCUUAUGGUUUUUUCGAAUUCACCUCGUGUACUUAUAAAUUGCUGAAUUUUAUUUUUGUUGGGGAAUGAGUGAAAUGGGUAAUGUGAGAAGAGAAAAGAGAAGAAAUUAGGACAGGUGCAGACUUUUUGUUCUUAGUUCUGUUAUUUUGUUGAUUGGCACCUUUUAUGUUUAUGUUUUUUGUAAAGCUCAGGAUGUGCAUAAUCUUGUCCAUUUAUAUGUCAAUCCAGAUUUGUACACGACAGAACUAAAUAAGACAAGUUUGUUGUGCUUAACCUGUCUUGCUGUUCUAAUUUCACAGGGUAGAAGACCUGGCUUUGGACGUGGAGCUGGUGACUUUGGUGCACCACCACCAAGUUAAUACUGCCCGCAUGUGUCCAUUCUUCAAGUUUGAUUGUAUUUUGCAAAUUUACGGUCAAGUUAUGGAAAAUAUAGAAUAUUGGAGUCCUAAAUUUGCGCAAAAAUAUCUGAGCUGAGUCCCCUUCAAUUUUCUGUGUAAUAUUUAGCCGAUGUCUACAAUUUUGUUUAUGUCGUUUAGAUUUCGACGAUGAGUACACUCAUACGGCAGGCUGGCUUUAUUUUAU